rfam:Selaginella moellendorffii unplaced genomic scaffold SELMOscaffold_47, whole genome shotgun sequence.
GGGUCUUGGGAUAUUUGGGGUUAAGCGUCCUUGGGUUUGAAUAGUACUAUGUUGGGUGACCUCCCGGGAAGACCAAACUCAGGAGCUU